CCAAGGAGUCUAACAUGUGCGCAAGUCAUGGGGUUCUACGAAACCUAAAGGCACAAUGAAAGUGAAGGCAGCCUCGGGUUUGCCUAGGUAGGAUCCUUCCCUCCGUGGGGAGGCGCACUACCGGCCCGUCUCGUCCGCAUUGUCGGGGAGGCGGAGCAAGAGCGUACACGUUGGGACCCGAAAGAUGGUGAACUAUGCCUGAGUAGGACGAAGCCAGAGGAAACUCUGGUGGAGGUCCGUAGCGAUUCUGACGUGCAAAUCGAUCGUCAAACUUGGGUAUAGGGGCGAAAGACUAAUCGAACCAUCUA
rnacentral:rRNA from 1 species